UUAAUUGAAGAGUUUGAUCAUGGCUCAGAUUGAACGCUGGCGGCAGGCCUAACACAUGCAAGUCGAGCGGCAGCACAGAGAAACUUGUUUCUCGGGUGGCGAGCGGCGGACGGGUGAGUAAUGCCUGGGAAAUUGCCCUGAUGUGGGGGAUAACCAUUGGAAACGAUGGCUAAUACCGCAUGAUGCCUACGGGCCAAAGAGGGGGACCUUCGGGCCUCUCGCGUCAGGAUAUGCCCAGGUGGGAUUAGCUAGUUGGUGAGGUAAGGGCUCACCAAGGCGACGAUCCCUAGCUGGUCUGAGAGGAUGAUCAGCCACACUGGAACUGAGACACGGUCCAGACUCCUACGGGAGGCAGCAGUGGGGAAUAUUGCACAAUGGGCGCAAGCCUGAUGCAGCCAUGCCGCGUGUGUGAAGAAGGCCUUCGGGUUGUAAAGCACUUUCAGUUGUGAGGAAGGUGGUGUCGUUAAUAGCGGCAUCAUUUGACGUUAGCAACAGAAGAAGCACCGGCUAACUCCGUGCCAGCAGCCGCGGUAAUACGGAGGGUGCGAGCGUUAAUCGGAAUUACUGGGCGUAAAGCGCAUGCAGGUGGUUUGUUAAGUCAGAUGUGAAAGCCCGGGGCUCAA
rnacentral:rRNA from 1 species